rnacentral:lncRNA from 1 species
UCGGUUUUGAUGAUAUUUUUUUUUAAUAUAUAUAUGUAGUAUGAUUUUAAUGUUGAAAUCUUCAUUUUCCUUGUAUUAUAAUUUUAUAACUGUUGCCUGGACUUGUCAAAAUUUAUCACCUUUGUCGUCAGGAGGAUUUAGGAUGUAUUUCUGGGAUAGUGAAAACCCAAGACUUGUCUUCGCAAAAUGCCAACAACCUUGUGGAUGAUAGACAGGAUCUCUAGAUUGUCGGUGCCAUACGGGAUAAGGAUAGAAAAUUUUUAACUACUUCAAUGAGAGAAGACAUGAAAACAUGCAGAUGAGAAAACUUCCAAGCAAGUUCAUCCUCAUAUUAUGCAUUUUGGUCUACUUUUUUAAACUAGUGCAAUUUUCCUCACUCGUGUAGAUUUCGUAAUACAUAAAACUAUUUAAGGUUGUUUAAAGUUGUACUGACUCAUGCCUACUCAUUGCCAUUUUGAAAUGUAAUUAGGAAGUUGUUCCGAAACGCACAAUACAGAUGGAAGAAGUCAUACAAGUUUCUCAUAUGUAUUAUUUAUCUUAGCUUUGAUCCUAAAUUUUUAUUUUUACUUUAAUAUUUACGACAACUUGAGUUCUAACUUUUGGAUUUUAAUUGUAUUAUUAAUUUAUUAUUGUAAAUUCUAAAACUAAAUUCAUUAAUUUUUAUAUUUAGUUUUAAAGUUAAAAUUUCAUAGAAAAUUUAAUUUAAAUAAUAUUUUUUAUUUAUCCUUAAAAGUAUAUUUAAAGUUCAAAUUUAGAAAAUAAAACAUAAUAUAAUAUUUAUCAUAAAAAUAAAUAUAAUUUAUUAAAAUAAUUUUUUUAAAGGUUAUUUUUUUAGCGGCGUUUUUGCUAGAAGCGCCGCUAAAGGUUUGAUCUAUAGUGGCGUUUGUGGUAAAAGCGCCGCUAAAGGUCUUGGUCUUUAGCGGCGUUUGUGGAAAAAGCGCCGCUAAAGGUCUUGGUUUUUAGUGGCGAUUGUGGGAAAAGUGCCGCUAAAGGUCUUGGUUUUUAGCGGCGUUUGUGGGAGAAGCGCCGCUAAAGGUUUUGUUUUUUAGCGUCGUUUGUGGGAAAAGCGCCGCUAAAGGUCUUGGUCUUUAGCGGCGUUUGUGGGAAAGCGCCGCUAAAGGUCUGGUUCUUUAGUGGCGUUUUUUGCGGCGCUUUUAAAGGCCUAAAAAAGCGCCGCUAAAAGCCUGUUUUGGUGUAGUGAGAAUUGAAUAAUCAACACAACACAUCCAAGUUCUUAUCCAUAUAAUGUUCAACAUUAUUUGAUUGUGAUUCAAUUAUACAAUACUAAUGCUAUAUAUAUUGCUUUAAGAUGGAAAAUAAAUGAAAAAUAGAAUAAAAGUGUUAAAUUUGUUGGUAAUGUGACUUAUACUUCUAGAUAAGUUAUAAAAAAAAAUCAAUAUAAUCAGACAAUGAACGCAAAACACUCAAAUUCAAAACUAUUUAAUAAUAAUUUGAGUAGUUAUUGUAUGCGUAUAUAUGUAAAUAUAUUGCUUGAUUAUAUAAAAUAAAAUUGGAAAUUUAUAUAGAAGUAAUAAACUUGUUGAUGUGAUUACUUACCCUUCUCCCCCAGAUGUCGAGCCAUGGUGAAAGUAUGGAUAAAAAGAGUGGAAGCCAGGAGAAUGCAUACCAACAUUAAUAAUGCUUUCAUUUUUGGGGGUAUAUUGUUGUUAUUAAUAGUAGGUAGUUUGUGUGAAGCAUGGCUUUUCUUUCGACUACUAUUUAUAGGUCGAUG